rnacentral:rRNA from 1 species
GGGGAAUAUUGCACAAUGGGCGCAAGCCUGAUGCAGCCAUGCCGCGUGUAUGAAGAAGGCCUUCGGGUUGUAAAGUACUUUCAGCGAGGAGGAAGGCAUUAAGGUUAAUAACCUUAGUGAUUGACGUUACUCGCAGAAGAAGCACCGGCUAACUCCGUGCCAGCAGCCGCGGUAAUACGGAGGGUGCAAGCGUUAAUCGGAAUUACUGGGCGUAAAGCGCACGCAGGCGGUCUGUUAAGUCAGAUGUGAAAUCCCCGGGCUCAACCUGGGAACUGCAUUUGAAACUGGCAGGCUUGAGUCUUGUAGAGGGGGGUAGAAUUCCAGGUGUAGCGGUGAAAUGCGUAGAGAUCUGGAGGAAUACCGGUGGCGAAGGCGGCCCCCUGGACAAAGACUGACGCUCAGGUGCGAAAGCGUGGGGAGCAAAC